CACGCGCGCCGAGCGACGUGAUGACCAUCGGCACCUUGUGUUUCUCGCAAACCGCAAGAUCCUGAUCGAGACGGUUGUUGGACUUGUGAACGAUCUGGUUGACCGCGAACCGCUGACAGACGAUCCGGAUGCGCCUUGUCGUGCGCCGCGAGUUCUUCCUUGAUCCGGUGCAGCCAUUCGUCCAGCAGCGCAGCAGGACGGGCAUUCAAUGCCGGAAACGAG
rnacentral:misc_RNA from 1 species